GCCGUGACGUCACCGCGCCACGAGCUCGUGUGUUUACGUGGAGAAACAUGGCGGCGACGGUGACAGCAGAGCCCGAGUAGAACAGUGAAGAACUCCCUCAGAUUUACCGCCCGAGCCGAAGCGACGCGCGUGUCAGCGCUCCGCGUUUAACGCCAGGCGUGCGGCGCUUUUCUGACGCGCGUCUCUCCGUGUUUCAGCCGCAGGAACCGCGGAGAUGAUGGAAGACGAGGAGCGACAGAAGAAGCUACAGGCCGGCAAAGCCAAGCUGGCCGAGUACCGGCAGAAGAAAGCUCAGUCCGAUGGCCAGAAGAAGCAGAAGAA